rnacentral:rRNA from 1 species
UAGCUAGUUGGUGAGGUAAAGGCUUACCAAGGCGACGAUCUGUAGCGGGUCUGAGAGGAUGAUCCGCCACACUGGAACUGAGACACGGUCCAGACUCCUACGGGAGGCAGCAGUGGGGAAUUUUGGACAAUGGGGGCAACCCUGAUCCAGCCAUGCCGCGUGAGUGAAGAAGGCCUUCGGGUUGUAAAGCUCUUUCGGCCGGGAAGAAAUCGCAUGGGCCAAUACCCUGUGUGGAUGACGGUACCGAAAUAAGAAGCACCGGCUAACUACGUGCCAGCAGCCGCGGUAAUACGUAGGGUGCGAGCGUUAAUCGGAAUUACUGGGCGUAAAGCGUGCGCAGGCGGUUUUGUAAGACAGGCGUGAAAUCCCCGGGCUUAACCUGGGAACUGCGUUUGUGACUGCAAGGCUAGAGUACGGCAGAGGGGGGUGGAAUUCCACGUGUAGCAGUGAAAUGCGUAGAGAUGUGGAGGAACACCAAUGGCGAAGGCAGCCCCCUGGGUCGAUACUGACGCUCAUGCACGAAAGCGUGGGUAGCAAACAGGAUUAGAUACCCUGGUAGUCCACGUCCUAAACUAUGUCAACUAGGUGUUGGGUGGGUAAAACCAUUUAGUACCGUAGCUAACGCGUGAAGUUGACCGCCUGGGGAGUACGGCCGCAAGGUUAAAACUCAAAGGAAUUGACGGGGACCCGCACAAGCGGUGGAUGAUGUGGAUUAAUUCGAUGCAACGCGAAACACCUUACCUACCCUUGACAUGCCAGGAACUUGCCAGAGAUGGCUUGGUGCCCGAAAGGGAGCCUGGACACAGGUGCUGCAUGGCUGUCGUCAGCUCGUGUCGUGAGAUGUUGGGUUAGGUCCCGCAACGAGCGCAACCCUUGUCGUUAAUUGCCAUCAUUUGGUUGGGCACUUUAACGAGACUGCCGGUGACAAACCGGAGGAAGGUGGGGAUGACGUCAAGUCCUCAUGGCCCUUAUGGGUAGGGCUUCACACGUCAUACAAUGGUCGGUACAAAGGGUUGCCAAGCCGCGAGGCGGAGCCAAUCCCAGAAAGCCGAUCGUAGUCCGGAUUGCAGGCUGCAACUCGCCUGCAUGAAGUCGGAAUCGCUAGUAAUCGUGGAUCAGCAUGUCACGGUGAAUACGUUCCCGGGUCUUGUACACACCGCCCGUCACACCAUGGGAGCGGGUUCCGCCAGAAGUAGGUAGCCUAACCGCAAGGGGGGCGCUUACCACGGCGGGGUUCGUGACUGGGGUGAAGUCGGAACAAGGUAGCCGUAGGGGAACCUGCGGCUG